GGUUCCAUGGUGUAAUUAGCACUCUGGACUCUGAAUCCAGCGAUCCGAGUUCAAAUCUCGGUGGAACCU
rnacentral:tRNA from 1 species